UCUCUCUCCUCCUUUCUGAAGAACGAAUGGCCUUACGCUACAGCUUCCCUUCCCUCCUUUCUUUCCUUCUCAAUUCAAAAUUUUGGGUGAGAAUUCACUCUCUACGUUGCGUUGCUUCUCCGGCUUGUUCCGGGGUUGGGUCAUCUUUGCUCUCUGGCCCAAAGCACGUUGCUCCUCCGCCUUGCUCCGACGCUCACUCAUCUUCGCUCUCUGCCCCAAAGCUUGUUGCUUCUUCGGCCUACGUCAUUGUGUUCUUUCUCCGCCUUGCUCCGGUGUGGUUUCCAAGCGCAAGAUGGUGAGGAAUGUUCUUGCUGUAAGUCGCAGACUCCAAGCGACAAGAAGUUGCAGCUCUCUCCGAUUUGGCUUCGGAUUUGCUACGUUCGUGGCUCGUAACGCUGCUGGUGAAGAAGAUGGAGGGGUGGACCGGCAUGUGUAGCGACAAAGGUGGAGAGAGCGAGUGGAGGAAGGUGAUGGAGGCAUCGUGCGGAAAGAUGGACGAGGAGGUUGGAGGGAAUGGGGGGGACGCGUCGAUGAGGAUGGCAAGGUCGACGGUGGUGGUGGCAGUGGUGGGUAAGGAGGUGGCGAUUUGAAACUUCCAAUACGAUUCAAUCGUUUUCAGGCGAUCGAAUUUCUAUCAUUUCAUUUCAUCCAAAUGAGAUCAUAAAUGAGGAGAGUUAUGGCUUUCGGCAUUUUGUAAGUUUGACAAUAAAGAGUGCCUGAGUGAUAUGUUUCCUGAUCA